UACAGAGGUCCCAAGCGUUGUUCGGAUUCACUGGGCGUAAAGGGUGCGUAGGUGGUCGGGUAAGUCUGAUGUGAAAUCUCCGAGCUUAACUCGGAAAUGGCAUUGGAUACUAUUCGGCUAGAGGGUUUGAGGGGGGACUGGAAUACUUGGUGUAGCAGUGAAAUGCGUAGAUAUCAAGUGGAACACCAGUGGCGAAGGCGAGUCCCUGGAAACUCCUGACACUGAGGCACGAAAAGCUAGGGGAGCAAACAGG
rnacentral:rRNA from 1 species